UGGGGAAUUUUGGACAAUGGGCGAAAGCCUGAUCCAGCAAUGCCGCGUGUGUGAAGAAGGCCUUCGGGUUGUAAAGCACUUUUGUCCGGAAAGAAAUCCUCUGGGUUAAUACCUCGGGGGGAUGACGGUACCGGAAGAAUAAGCACCGGCUAACUACGUGCCAGCAGCCGCGGUAAUACGUAGGGUGCAAGCGUUAAUCGGAAUUACUGGGCGUAAAGCGUGCGCAGGCGGUUUUGUAAGACGGAUGUGAAAUCCCCGGGCUUAACCUGGGAACUGCAUUCGUGACUGCAAGGCUAGAGUAUGGCAGAGGGGGGUUAGAAUUCCACGUGUAGCAGUGAAAUGCGUAGAGAUGUGGAGGAAUACCGAUGGCGAAGGCAGCCCCCUGGGCCAAUACUGACGCUCAUGCACGAAAGCGUGGGGAGCAAACAGGAUUAGAUACCCUGGUAGUCCACGCCCUAAACGAUGUCAACUAGUUGUUGGGGAUUCAUUUCCUUAGUAACGUAGCUAACGCGUGAAGUUGACCGCCUGGGGAGUACGGUCGCAAGAUUAAAACUUAAAUGAAUUGACGGGGUCAUAGCUG
rnacentral:rRNA from 1 species